rnacentral:rRNA from 1 species
UACGUAGGUGGCAAGCGUUGUCCGGAUUUACUGGGCGUAAAGAGCGCGCAGGCGGUCGACCAAGUCGCGUGUGAAAGCCCCCGGCUCAACUGGGGAGGGUCACGCGAUACUGAUCGACUCGAAGGCAGGAGAGGGUAGUGGAAUUCCUGGUGUAGUGGUGAAAUGCGUAGAUAUCGGGAGGAACACCAGUGGCGAAGGCGGCUUCCUGGUCCAGCACCGACGUUCAGGCACGAAAGCGUGGGGAGCAAACAGG